AUUGAACGCUGGCGGCAGGCCUAACACAUGCAAGUCGAGCGGAAGAAGGGAGCUUGCUCCCGGAUGCAGCGGCGGACGGGUGAGUAAUGCCUAGGAAUCUGCCUGGUAGCGGGGGAUAACGUCCGGAAACGGGCGCUAAUACCGCAUACGACCAGAGGGAGAAAGUGGGGGAUCUUCGGACCUCACGCUAUCAGAUGAGCCUAGGACGGAUUAGCUAGUUGGUGGGGUAAAGGCCUACCAAGGCGACGAUCCGUAACUGGUCUGAGAGGAUGAUCAGUCACACUGGAACUGAGACACGGUCCAGACUCCUACGGGAGGCAGCAGUGGGGAAUAUUGCACAAUGGGCGAAAGCCUGAUCCAGCCAUGCCGCGUGAGUGAAGAAGGUCUUCGGAUUGUAAAGCACUUUAAGUCGGGAGGAAGGGCAGUAAGUUAAUACCUGGCUGUUUUGACGGUACCAACAGAAUAAGCACCGGCUAACUUCGUG
rnacentral:rRNA from 1 species